AACGUAGGAGCCUAGCGUUAUCCGAAUUCACUGGGCGUAAAGCGCGUGCAGGCGGUUCGGUAAGUUGGAUGUGAAAUCUCCUGGCUCAACUGGGAGAGGACGUUCAAGACUGUCGGACUAGAGGACGGUAGAGGAAGGUAGAAUUCCCGGUGUAGUGGUGAAAUGCGUAGAUAUCGGGAGGAAUACCAGUGGCGAAGGCGGCCUUCUGGGCCGUUCCUGACGCUCAGACGCGAAAGCUAGGGAGCAAACGGG
rnacentral:rRNA from 1 species